AGGGGCUGUGGGUUCCCCGGGGCUUCCCUGCCCCGCGCCUGCCCGCCGGGCGCUUCUCCCCCUCCAGGACCGCGGCCCACGUCGCCACUCGAGCCCGAGCCCGAGCCCGCGCCCACGCGCGGGGGCCGCUUCCUGCGAGGAGGCGGGGACAGGUGUCCGCGGGCGCAAACAGCGGAGUUUCGUGCGCCUAUUUUUUGGUAAAAGUAGAGGCGAUGCGUUGUUGACAUAUUUAGUGGUUAAAAACUUAUUGCCAAAUUCUCAACAGAUUCCAGAAUUUUUUAAAGUUCACAACACGAGAGUGGACGAAAUGUCGGAGCUUUUGCUCAUAUCCAGAAAUGUGGCCUCUGCCUCCCACUCGGGCCCUGCGGUGCAGACGGGUUCAGGGCGGCGAGGACUGAGCCAGGAGCGCCGAGAGUUCCAGCUGCUCCCAGGCUGGGUUCUAAUUAACGCUGGACCCCUGCUGAGAUGGAGUCUCACUCUGUCGCCCAGGCUGGAAUGCAGUGGUGCAAUCUCGGCUCACUGCGAUCUCUGCGUCCUGGGUUCAAGCAAUUCUCCUG
rnacentral:lncRNA from 1 species